AGCACGCUUCCGCUGCUAUCUUUGUUAAUGUUGCUAGUAAAGUUACAGUGUGGUGAAUAUGAUCAACGGAUGGAUACAGUUUACGCUAGGUGGCGUACGCUAACCGCUAUAAUGCUUGUUUUUCAUCAUAUGUUGGAGAAGAGCUUUGAGCAUGAGUCCACAGAUGGAUGAGGUGCUGCAGGAAAGAAUAAAUCGUAAAAAGCACUCUGAAGCUGGAGGCAAACCAUGAGAACCAUCUGUAUCAGAAACUCAGGAGGUGCACAGAAAAGAUGUGGUCCACGGCAAAGAGCUGUCCAUGGCCAAGCCCACAUCUACAUUCACGACCUGAUCCACCCUUACAGGACAAACUGGGCCCUGGGGUCCUCUGAGCAAGGCCUUUUAAGGGUGCCACGGACCAGGCUAAAAACUAAGGGGAUCGUGUCUUUGAGGUGUUGGCUCCAUGGCUUUGGAAUGAAUUUCCUCAGGGCGUGAGAGCCGCUGUCUCAGUGGAAAUG